GCCAGGUGUGGUGGCGUGCACCUGUAAUCCCAGCUACUAGGGAGGCUGAGGCAGGAGAAUCGCUUGAACCCAGGAGGUGGAGGUUGCAGUGAGCUGAGAUCGCACCACUGCACUCCAGCCUGGGUGACAGAGUGAGACUCUGUCUCAA
rnacentral:SRP_RNA from 1 species